UUCAUAAAAGUUAAGAUGGGUCCCACACUCCAAUUAAAGAAAGGAAAGAGAGUUCCUUGAGUUUGACACCUUUCAACGAGCUGGCAGCAACAUGAUUCUAUAUUCUAGCUACACUUUCACACUUUGGAAUUCAUAAUUUCGCCUAGACAAUUUGUUGAAGACCAAAGAAACGCUCAGCAACAUUUUGUGCUUUGGAGACAACUCUUUUUUCUAAUCUUCUUCAAAUGCAAGAACUCUCAUCGAAUCCUCGUCGUGGCUGUAGAACCUUGCGUUUUUUUUUAGCUUGGGGCAGAAUUGGCUCGUCCCACCUUGUAUAAGAUUUGUGAAGCCCGAGACCUAAGUUAUGGUUAACUUGAAAAGCGACAAGGUACAGAUAGUCGGUUUGGUGACCCUUCAGCAUAGGACUUCUACUCAGCUGUCUUGGAGAGCUCCGUUGUUCCGGAGUUAGACUUUUGGUACAGAUCUUAUGAUAUAUAUAUAUAUAUAUAUAUGUAUGUUCAUACAGGGGUACGACGGGGCCCUGUCCCGUCAUAUUUCACUGUUAGUACUUUUAGAGGUCUGUAGACAUAUGUGUGGGUUGUGUAUAACUUCUAUUCAGCUGUGUCUAUACGAUGUGCUAUGAUAUGAUGUCCGUUUGUAGUGGCAGCCUUGUCGGCUUGCAUAUGACAUGAUAUUGAUGUGUA